rnacentral:rRNA from 1 species
ACACGGACCAAGGAGUCUAACAUGUAUGCGAGUCGGCGGGUGGAAAACCCGUAGGCGCAAGUAACCUAACAGGUGGGAUUUUUGCACCAUCGACCAACCUUGAUCUUCUGUGAAGGGUUUGAGUACGAGCAUACCUGUUGGGACCCGAAAGAUGGUGAACUAUGCCUGAGCAGGGUGAAGCCAGAGGAAACUCUGGUGGAGGCUCGUAGCGGUUCUGACGUGCAAAUCGAUCGUCAAAUUUGGGUAUAGGGGCGAAAGACUAAUCGAACCAUCUAGUAGCUGGUUCC